CUUCCAGUAGCACCUUAGAGACCAACUAAGUUAGUUAUUGGGAUGAGCUUUUGUGUGCAUGAAGUUUGCAUGCACACGAAAGUUCAUACCCAUAACAAACUUAGUUGGUCUCUAAGGUGCUACUGGAAG